rnacentral:tRNA from 1 species
GGUGAGUUGGCAGAGUGGUCGAAUGCACUACCUUGGAAAGGUAGCAAACGAGUAAUCGUUUCAUAGGUUCGAAUCCUAUACUCACCG